CAUCACAACUAGAAUUUAACAUCUUAGUAAAUUUUUGAGAUAGAUUUAUAGAUUUAAAGAAUAGUUAUGACAAAGAAUGAGAUGAAAACUAUUGGAGUUGCGAUCAUGAUUAUGUUAGGUUUCUCACAAGCUAAUUACAAUUCUCCACUUGUAAAAAUUGGGCCAAAUCGUGUGUAUGAUAAACUCAGUUGUCGUAUCAGGUGUGAACUAGCAUGUGCACCUUUAAUUCCAGGUGGCAUUGCAUAUAUAAUAUGUCUUUAUGUGUGUGCUUCAAAAUGUCAUGAACAAUCCAACGAUGUUGACAAUUAUAUCAUUGGUCAUGGCUCAACCAAUUCCAUCAACGUCAACAUUGAUUCUCGAGAUGUUGCAGUCGGAUGGUGGACUCCUAUAUACUAGAGUGUCACAAGAAGUAAUAUUUUGUUACAAAAAUGUUCAAAAUCAUGGUCAAGAGAAUUUAUACUCAUGCAUGAUUGUAAUAAACAAAUCUUAAUUGAUGGGUAACAUCCAUUUUUAUUUUCUGUGAA